CGGAUUCCUUAUUCUUACAAGUUUGAUCUCAGGAUAUCCAGUGACCAAUACUGGUGAUUUUUUGGAAACGCGCAAUUCGACUCAACCAAAUCAUAUAAAUAACUCAAGGAAUUCAUCUGGUUUACGUAAUCAAAGUGCUAGUUUUUCACUUGGCCAAGAAACAUUAAUAACAACAAUCGUGAUCUCCACAGUUGGUGUCCUAACAAAUGGUCUUCUUAUUGUUGUUAUUGUGAAGGAUCCUUUAAACAAGCUAAGACGAGGACCGUGGAUUACCAUCUUAAGCUUAUCUAUAGCUGACAUCACUGCAUCUUUGUCCCAAUUCAUGAUUAUUGGAUUGGGUAGAUUGUUUGAGGUCAAACCAUCACAAGCUGUCAUUUAUUCUGUCCUUUUCUUUUGGAUGUUUGGGGCUGCGGGCUCAUUUUUUCACUUGACAUCACUCACAUGGCAAACUUACAUGAUUGCAAAGUAUCCCAA